GACGAGUCUGACAAACGUUAUUCGGAAUUACUGGGCUUAAAGGGUGCGUAGGCGGUAUGGUAAGUCGGAUGUGAAAUACCUUAGCUUAACUAGGGAACUGCACUCGAUACUACCGUGCUAGAGUAAGACAGAGGUGAGUGGAACUGAGGGUGGAGCGGUGAAAUGCGUUGAUAUCCUCAGGAACACCGGUGGCGAAGGCGACUCACUGGGUCUUUACUGACGCUGAUGCACGAAAGCUAGGGUAGCAAACGGG
rnacentral:rRNA from 1 species